GACGAACGCUGGCGGCGUGCUUAACACAUGCAAGUCGAACGGUGAACGAGGGAGCUUGCUCCCUCCGGAUCAGUGGCGAACGGGUGAGUAACACGUGAGCAAUCUGCCCCGAACUCUGGGAUAAGCGUUGGAAACGACGUCUAAUACUGGAUACGACGCGGGAGGGCAUCCUCUCCGCGUGGAAAGAACUUCGGUUCGGGAUGAGCUCGCGGCCUAUCAGCUUGUUGGUGAGGUAACGGCUCACCAAGGCGACGACGGGUAGCCGGCCUGAGAGGGUGACCGGCCACACUGGGACUGAGACACGGCCCAGACUCCUACGGGAGGCAGCAGUGGGGAAUAUUGCACAAUGGGCGCAAGCCUGAUGCAGCAACGCCGCGUGAGGGACGACGGCCUUCGGGUUGUAAACCUCUUUUAGCAGGGAAGAAGCGAAAGUGACGGUACCUGCAGAAAAAGCACCGGCUAACUACGUG
rnacentral:rRNA from 1 species